GACGAACGCUGGCGGCGUGCUUAACACAUGCAAGUCGAACGGAAAGGCCCUGCUUUUGUGGGGUGCUCGAGUGGCGAAAGGGUGAGUAACACGUGAGUAACCUGCCCCUGACUCUGGGAUAACUUCAGGAAACUGGGGCUCAUACCGGAUAGGAGCUCCUGCUGCAUGGUGGGGGUUGGAAAGAUUCGGCGGUUGGGGAUGGACUCGCGGCUUAUCAGCUUGUUGGUGGGGUAGUGGCUUACCAAGGCUUUGACGGGUAGCCGGCCUGAGAGGGUGACCGGCCACAUUGGGACUGAGAUACGGCCCAGACUCCUACGGGAGGCAGCAGUGGGGAAUAUUGCACAAUGGGCGGAAGCCUGAUGCAGCAACGCCGCGUGCGGGAUGACGGCCUUCGGGUUGUAAACCGCUUUCGCCUGUGACGAAGCGUGAGUGACAGUAAUGGGUAAAGAAGCACCGGCUAACUACGUG
rnacentral:rRNA from 1 species